UACGGGGGGAGCAAGCGUUGUUCGGAUUUACUGGGCGUAAAGGGCGCGUAGGCGGCGCGACAAGUCACUUGUGAAAUCUCCGGGCUUAACUCGGAGCGGCCAAGUGAUACUGUCGUGCUAGAGUGCGGAAGGGGCAACUGGAAUUCUCGGUGUAGCGGUGAAAUGCGUAGAUAUCGAGAGGAACACCUGCGGCGAAGGCGGGUUGCUGGGCCGACACUGACGCUGAGGCACGAAAGCGUGGGGAGCAAACAGG
rnacentral:rRNA from 1 species